CCCUUAGAUGUUCUGGGCAGCACGCGCGCUACAAUGGUCUUCGCAAACGGAUGCAUUCUCGAAGGAGAAUGCCAAUCUUGGAAUCUAUGCCUUGGUCGGGACAGUUGCUUGCAAUUUUUCGACUCGAACCAGGAAUUCCCUGUAAUCGUGAUUCAUCACAUCACGAUGAAUACGUCCCUGCCCUUUGUACACACCGCCCGUCGCUCCUACCGAUCGAAGAGUUAGGUGAAUUGUUUUGAUCGAUAAGAUUUGACUAUGGUCAACUCUCGUUGUGAAAUUCUGUGAAUCUGACUGUUUAGAGGAAGGAAAAGUCGUAACA
rnacentral:rRNA from 1 species